rnacentral:rRNA from 2 species
CAAAACGACUCUCGGCAACGGAUAUCUCGGCUCUCGCAUCGAUGAAGAACGUAGCGAAAUGCGAUACUUGGUGUGAAUUGCAGAAUCCCGUGAACCAUCGAGUCUUUGAACGCAAGUUGCGCCCGAAGCCUUCGGGCCGAGGGCACGUCUGCCUGGGUGUCAUGC